ACAUGCAAGUCGAGCGGAGAUGAGGUGCUUGCACCUUAUCUUAGCGGCGGACGGGUGAGUAAUGCUUAGGAAUCUGCCUAUUAGUGGGGGACAACAUUUCGAAAGGAAUGCUAAUACCGCAUACGCCCUACGGGGGAAAGCAGGGGAUCUUCGGACCUUGCGCUAAUAGAUGAGCCUAAGUCGGAUUAGCUAGUUGGUGGGGUAAAGGCCUACCAAGGCGACGAUCUGUAGCGGGUCUGAGAGGAUGAUCCGCCACACUGGGACUGAGACACGGCCCAGACUCCUACGGGAGGCAGCAGUGGGGAAUAUUGGACAAUGGGGGGAACCCUGAUCCAGCCAUGCCGCGUGUGUGAAGAAGGCCUUUUGGUUGUAAAGCACUUUAAGCGAGGAGGAGGAGCUCUAGAUUAAUACUCUAGAUGCUUGGACGUUACUCGCAGAAUAAGCACCGGCUAACUCUGUGCCAGCAGCCGCGGUAAUACAGAGGGUGCAAGCGUUAAUCGGAUUUACUGGGCGUAAAGCGUGCGUAGGUGGUCUUUUAAGUCGGAUGUGAAAUCCCUGAGCUUAACUUAGGAAUUGCAUUCGAUACUGGGAGACUAGAGUAUGGGAGA
rnacentral:rRNA from 1 species